CUCCAAAUAUUCAGAAGUUUUCCCUUCAAAUUUUCGCCCAACGUUUCCCCCUAAUUCUCAAAUUUCUAAUUAUUCAGUUUUCAACUCAUUUUGCCCUGAAAUUUCAAUCAGCUUUCGCCUAACAUUUUCCCCUGAUUCUCUAAUUUCUAAUUAUUCAAUUUUCAACUCAUUUUGCCCUGAAAUUUCAAUCAGCUACGGAGAAAUCUGCUACUCUGCAAUCUGCUUCCCAGAGAUAGCAAUAGCAAGAUGGAAAGCCUAAUAAUUUUCAUAGUCUCGAUUUUUUUAUUUAUUUGUGAAGAUUUAACCUUUUUGAUUGUGUUUAAAUUGUGAAGCCUGCAAGGAAAUUGGAUUCGACCACCGACAAAGUAAAGAAGCCACGUCGCUACCGCCGGGAACGGUUGCUUUUAGGUUCCACAAAUGUUACCACAAAUUGAAAUUACUCCUAAGAAGGAUUUGAAAAACAUGAGAACAUGAAUAAUGGCUUACUUUCUGUUGCAGCUGCUUCAACAAAUAGUGCUUAUGAAAUGGGAACAAAGAUGCAUUACAAAAGCUACUUCCCAGGGGUUAAGAUGGUGAGACCUUAAUGAUGAUUCUAGCAGUAGUAGUUGGACCUUAUCUUACAGGACCAAUAUGGUGGCAAAGAAUGCUUGUUGUAUUUAAGAAUCUGCAGGAAAGAGUGAUGGAUUUUUUGGAGGGUAUACAACUCUAUUAAAUAAAGAUUUAUAGGUUGCGUCGCAGAGAACAUUUGCUCAUUUGACAGCAAUAAGAGACUCACGUAUCUAAAGAAGCAAGCAUGUCUCGUGCAAAUAUGUUAUGCACUUUUGGAUAGAUAGGACUUUACAGUUUUUACUACAUGGAAGAUGAACAACACUUAAUAUGUUCAGUAUGCGUGUGAAAAAACACAUUACAUUUUGGCAUUAGAUACUUGGAAUUUUUGUUACUUAAAUAUGACAUUUUAUUUUAAUGAGUUGUUUAUGUAAUUUUGUUGGAUGAAUAA